rnacentral:misc_RNA from 1 species
AUCAUUGAGAAGGGAAUGCCUGGGUAUGUGGACCGAUUUGCUUUUUGUUGAAAAGGGCUGGCCGUAGAUCUACUGUGGAAAAAUGAGGAGCUUUAUUGAAUAAAUUUUCAUCAUUUUAGGUUUUAGUGAGUAUAAAGGUUGUCCUUCCUUUGGGGGCUUAAUGAUGAUUAUAUGCUCACUUUCUAACUUUGAGUCAGAAAAAAGAGGAUGUUCCAACAUACAGGCUGUUGUUUCAUUUUAUUAUAGUUUUCUUAAGCACUAGUGUACCUGGCCUGUGGAGAAGUGCUAAAUAUUGGAAUGAGAACAUAUUUUAUUUGCUAAAUGCCUUGCUUAUUGAGGAUAGAUUUAUUUUGGACAUUGUCAAGUGUGACCCUAAAUGCAAAAAGAAUUGAUGAUGCUUGCUUCCCACCAUGGACCGUAAAUUUGUGUACCAAAAUAGAAAGUAAAUUUGCAUUCCUGAUUUUCUUUCUGGUGAAUGCAGAUUUAGUACCGCCCAGAAACUAGACAAGCUUGGGAUGCGAGGAAGUGAUACAUGUGAGCUUGUCUUUGAGAAUUGCUUUGUUCCAGAAGAAAAUGUGCUUGGGCAAGAAGGAAAAGGAGUUUAUGUCAUGAUGUCAGGGCUAGAUUUGGAAAGACUUGUUUUGGCUGCUGGACCUUUGGGUAUCAUGCAGGCAUGUCUUGAUGUUGUUCUUCCUUAUAUUCGACAAAGAGAACAGUUCGGCCGUCCAAUUGGGGAAUUUCAGUUUAUACAGGGGAAAAUUGCUGACAUGUAUACUUCUUUACAAUCUUCAAGGUCCUAUGUUUAUUCUGUUGCAAGGGACUGUGACAAUGGGAAAGUUGACCCAAAGGAUUGUGCUGGAGUCAUACUCUGUGCAGCUGAAAGGGCAACCCAAGUUGCUUUGCAGGCUAUACAAUGCUUAGGUGGUAAUGGGUAUGUAAAUGAGUACUCAACUGGCCGCCUUCUUCGAGAUGCCAAAUUGUAUGAAAUUGGGGCAGGGACUAGUGAAAUCAGAAGAAUGAUAAUUGGUCGUGAACUCUUUAAGCAGUGAGAGAGAACAUGCAUAGUGCGCUGCUGUAUGAAACAACCUGCAGAAGUCAAGUAAAUGAUUUUUUCCCCGCUUUCUGAAAUGUAAAAUUCUUACAGCACAGGGAAAGACUGUACAUCAAUACAUGAUCAUUGGAAUAAAAUUUACCGUUUUAAUUUUAUUGCAGAAAAUGAUCAUUUUAACAUUCAUUUUAAUAUUCCAUGGAAUUUCAAAAAAUCCAAGCAUCCUAAAGACAUGUAUUUUUGAAUGAAUUACACUGCUUUGUCCAUUGAUGAGAAGUCACUAUUGGGAAAGCUUGAACCCAAUUCUUUCUGUGAUGAAUAUUUGCUUAUUUGUUUGAUUGUUAGUUUGUCCGACAAACUGAAAUUGUCAUUUUAUCAAUGUUAGGUUCCAGAAUAGUUUUUCGUUGAAAUGCUAGUUAGUUUUUGGGUUCUUUCUGCAUUUACUUUAUUUUUUUAUUACACUUUGUUUUUUACUUUGUACUCUCUUUAGUCAUAGGAUGCCAUUUUAUUUGAUUCAAUAUAAU